rnacentral:rRNA from 1 species
AGGGAAUAUUGGACAAUGGGCGAAAGCCUGAUCCAGCCAUGCCGCGUGAUAGAUGAAGGCCCUCUGGGUUGUAAAUAUCUUUUAUCUGGGAAGAAACUCCUCUAUUCUUAGAGGCCUGACGGUACCAGAGGAAUAAGCACCGGCUAACUCCGUGCCAGCAGCCGCGGUAAUACGGAGGGUGCAAGCGUUAUCCGGAUUCACUGGGUUUAAAGGGUGCGUAGGCGGGCUGAUAAGUCAGUGGUGAAAGCUCCGAGCUUAACUUGGAAACUGCCAUUGAUACUGCCAGUCUUGAAUGUCGUAGAGGUAAGCGGAAUGUUGCAUGUAGCGGUGAAAUGCUUAGAUAUGUUACAGAACACCAAUUGCGAAGGCAGCUUACUAUGCGAUGAUUAACGCUGAGGCACGAAAGCGUGGGGAGCAAAC